rnacentral:lncRNA from 1 species
AAUUAUUUUUAGCAAAUCGGUGAGCUAAACUUCUAUAGCACAACUAUUGUGUCAGUACAAAAAUAACUUCAACUGGACCUAUAAAUACUAAAUUUGGGGAGAGAAAAUUAUUGGGUUGGUGAAGAUAUUGAAGUCUAGAGGGAGAGGCUCUCGGCUGGGGGAUUAAAUACCUCUUUAACGUGAGUUCCUUUGGGUUGUUGUGAGUAGAUUUCAAGUACUAAUUGCCAUCAUUAACACCAAAUCAUCAUGAAAAUUUAGGCUCUUCAAGAAAUCCUUCAAGAACACAAGGAGAAGAAAAGAGCUAGGGUUUCUUUACAAAGGUAAUCCUACCAUCCUAAACUAGUUAUUGGAGUAUAAAUAUAUUUGUAGAUGAUAAUGUUGAGUUGGAAUUAUGAUUUUUAGAAGCUAUUGAGUAAAAUCUAAUGGCUAGUAUUCUUGAGCUUAAAGAGUAUGUUUGGGAAGAUAAUGAAUAGUGUCAAUUUAAUAAUUUAUGUGUUGAGCACUAUUCGUCGAGUAUUAACUUGUUAAGUGUAAAACGGGUAAGAGAUGGAGAUUUUCGGAUGUAAGGAUGGGUUAUGGUCGAUCUAUGAAUAUGACUUGAAUUGAGUAAUAAUUCCUCAAACUUGAAUUGAGAUGGAAAUUGGUUGCUAUAUGUAGAUUUUAAGUUCGUUGGUGACAUUGGAACCUUGGGCAAGAUUUUGGAAAGCGAUUUGAGACACGUUGAAAUUUACUACCCUUCGAAGCUUUUCUCCAAAUUCAUAUGGAAAAUCGAUUUAGAAAUGGAUUUUAGGAGUCAUAGCUUAUGUGGACGAGCGGAUUGAGAUUGCAUCACUUCUUGCAUUGUAAAAGAUUUAAGUAUUAAUAUGUAAUUUUCUUAUAAAGCGUGAAGUAAAAAUAUUUAUAAAUUCUUUACACAUUAAGGUAGAACUUGUUGAAUAAAAAGGUAAAUUCUCAUUUGUUAAUUACUAUUACAAGAAUUGAGAAAGGACUUUUACUUGAUUUUGUUCAAAAGGUUAGAUCGGUUAUGAACAUCGUGAUUUGAUAAAAUGGAUCCUUUGAAAAUUUUAGGCUAUGAAUCAAUUUGUAAUAUCAAAUGUUUUGCGAAUUACUAGUGAAAACCACCGAGAUUGGUUUGAAUAUUGAGUUUGUUACCAUGAAACUAUAUGUACCAGUAUAGGGACACAUUCCAAGGAUAACCCGAUGUUUGUGGGAUAAAGUUCCCCCAUUUGUGAGGGCAAUUGAUCAUUACUUAAUGUAAUGAGGUUAAGUCUACUACUAUGAUAAUAUAAGCUGCCCGACAACUAGGGUCAAAUACUUAUUGCUAGGUUGAUCACCUAGCGUUGUUUAUUAUGCCGGUGUCGGUAUGGUGCUCCUGGUUAAAGAUAAACCUCGCUCAAUUUUAUUAAAUCUUGAUGCUAAAUGAAGACUUUGAAAUAUAUUCCACAUUAUUGCCUUAUUUUAUUGUCCGAAUUAUUAAUUGAUACAAAUGUUUUCUUCUUAUAUCAAUUGUUAUGCAUAUUUAAUAUUUAUUAAAUUUUUCCCACUUUCUUUAUUUGAAGAAAUAAUUUAUAAUUCGUACUAGGCAUGUGGAGCUUAAGCCCUUUGUCCACAUUUCUAUUUCUGUUUUCAGGGGCCGGGCCUGAGCAGUUUGAGCCUCAUGGAUAGGACAUCUCUACAUCUUAUGCUAUAUCUUUUGGAUAUACUCCAAAUUUGUACUCAUAGAGCAUUGUUAUAUUUAUUUUUUGAGCCACAAGGCCUGUCUCGGUCGACUAUUUUAUUCCGUGUCAUAGAGAUUCCAUUGACAUUAAUAGCAUUUAUUUUUGGGUUGUAAUUAUAUGGUUACUUAUAUGGCAUGCAUGAAUGAAACUCUUUAUCUUUAUGAAGUUUUUAUUUAAUAUAAAAAUUGAAUUAAACACAUUAUUCU